GACGAACGCUGGCGGCGUGCUUAACACAUGCAAGUCGAACGAAGAGCGACGGAAGCUUGCUCCUAUCAAUCUUAGUGGCGAACGGGUGAGUAACGCGUAAUCAACCUGCCCUUCAGAGGGGGACAACAGUUGGAAACGACUGCUAAUACCGCAUACGAUCUAACCUCGGCAUCGAGGAUAGAUGAAAGGUGGCCUCUACAUGUAAGCUAUCACUGAAGGAGGGGAUUGCGUCUGAUUAGCUAGUUGGAGGGGUAACGGCCCACCAAGGCGAUGAUCAGUAGCCGGUCGGAGAGGAUGAACGGCCACAUUGGGACUGAGACACGGCCCAGACGCCUACGGGAGGCAGCAGUGGGGAAUCUUCCGCAAUGGACGAAAGUCUGACGGAGCAACGCCGCGGGAGUGAUGACGGCCUUCGGGUUGUAAAGCUCGGUUAAUCGGGACGAAAGGCCUUCUUGCGAAUAGUGAGAAGGAUUGACGGUACCGGAAGAGAAAGCCACGGCUAACUACGUG
rnacentral:rRNA from 1 species